GAUAAUAGAAAUGAGUACUAUAAGCAAUGUUAAACUGCCUUAGUAAUAAGUUAGAAGUAAGCAUAGAACAUAAGUUCAUCAGGAGUAAGCAUAAGUAACACAGGAUAAUCAACUGUAAGACAUAGGAUCUAACCUACAGGAAAUAAGAUAUAAAACAAUGUAGGUUGAUAAGUAUACAUCAGUAGGCCAGUAUAGUUAUAGAUAAAUAUAAGGCUAAUAGGUUAACAUAGAAAUAGUUAAGGUUAAAUCAAUAUGGCCAAAGACAAAUAUAGCUUGAUAUAGCCAUAGUGAUCCAUUUUUAUGACUCUCAUGUGAAACUGACAUAUAACUUGUUUUUAAGAUGUUAAAAAAAUUGUUUUUCUCUGUUUCAUACACCCAUACUCGAACCCAGGAUGUAGACCCACAAAUGUGCUCUAACCCAGGAUGUGGUUGUGUGCUCUCGCUCUGCUAACUGCUUUCUCAGUGCUUGUAACCUGCUUGCUUGCAACUUGCAGAUUCCAUAGGAUGUGGUUUUCUUCCUUAAAUACUCUGGCUAUAGACAAUUCGGGGCUGUUCUCCCAUAGGGUCACUUGGACUCGGUGAGGGACAGUCUCUGGCCAGAUAAUAAAAGACUCUCAAAUUUGCCUUAAAUUCAGAUUUAGAAUGUUUUCUGAGCAGUUGCCCCAUAACAAUGUUGAAAUCCUAACACCCAAGUGAUGGCAUUAGGAGAUGGGGUACUUUGGAGGUACCAUUAAGAGAAUGAAAAGAAAUGCCACAGACUGAGAGAAAAUAUUUACAAAUCACAUAUAUGACAAUAUAUUUGUACCCA
rnacentral:lncRNA from 1 species